UACGAAGGGUGCAAGCGUUAAUCGGAAUUACUGGGCGUAAAGGGUGCGUAGGCGGUUCGUUAAGUCUGUCGUGAAAUCCCCGGGCUCAACCUGGGAAUGGCGAUGGAUACUGGCGAGCUAGAGUGUGUCAGAGGAUGGUGGAAUUCCCGGUGUAGCGGUGAAAUGCGUAGAGAUCGGGAGGAACAUCAGUGGCGAAGGCGGCCAUCUGGGACAACACUGACGCUGAAGCACGAAAGCGUGGGGGGCAAACAGG
rnacentral:rRNA from 1 species